rfam:Capsicum annuum cultivar Zunla-1 chromosome 11, whole genome shotgun sequence
AUAUCAUGGUUAGGGAAAUUUGCGAGCUUUUCCUUAAAUCUUUCCCAUACUUCAUACCAAGGUUCUUCAUUGAAUUGACAAAAAUUAACAAUCUCAUCCCACAAUAU